rnacentral:rRNA from 1 species
CCAAUAGCGUAUAUUAAAGUUGUUGCAGUUAAAAAGCUCGUAGUUGAAUUUCGGGAUCAAUAUUUCGGUCAUGCCGUUGGUAUGCACUGUUAUCAUUGAUUUCUCACCUUCUAAAGAACCGUGAUGCCAUUAAUUUGGUGUUACGGGGAAUUAGGACUGUUACCUUGAAAAAAUUAGAGUGUUUAAAGCAGGCUCACGCU